rnacentral:rRNA from 1 species
GUCCACGCCGUAAACAAUGGAUACUAGUUGUUUGAGGUAUCGACCCCUCAAGUAACGAAGCUAACGCGUUAAGUAUCCCGCCUGUGGAGUACGAUCGCAAGAUUAAAACAUAAAGGAAUUGACGGGGACCCGCACAAGCGGUGGAGCAUGUUCUUUAAUUCGAUGAUAAACGAUGAACCUUACCAGGGCUUGACAUCCAAGGAAGCACUACGAAAGUAGAGUGUGCCUUUUAGGAGCCUUGUGACAGGUGAUGCAUGGCCGUCGU